rnacentral:rRNA from 1 species
GAUGAACGCUAGCGGCAGGCUUAAUACAUGCAAGUCGAGGGGCAGCAUGACUGUAGCAAUACAGUUGAUGGCGACCGGCAAACGGGUGCGGAACACGUACACAACUUACCCUAGACUGGGGAGUANCCUUCCGAAAGGGAGAUUAAUACCUCAUAGGAUCGCAGGAUGGCAUCAUCUAGCGAUUAAAGCUCAGGCGGUUUAGGAUGGGUGUGCGGCU